GACGAACGCUGGCGGCGUGCUUAACACAUGCAAGUCGAACGAAGUGGCGAACGGGUGAGUAACGCGUAAGCAACCUGCCCUUCAGCGGGGGACAACAGUUGAAAACGACUGCUAAUACCGCAUAAUGACGGCGGGGAUUGCGUCGGAUUAGCUAGUCGGAGGGGUAACGGCCCACCAAGGCGAUGCUCAGUAACCGGGCCGAGAGGGUGAACUGCAACAUUGGGACUGUGCAACGGCCCAAACUGCUUACGGAGGCAGCAGUGGGGGAUCUUUCGCAAUGGGCGAAAGUCUGACGGAGCAAAGCCGCGUGAGGGAUGACGGCCUUCGGGUUGUAAAGGUCUGUUAAUCGGGGAGCGUUACCUGAAUAGAAAGCAACGGCUAACUACGUGCCAGCAGCCGCGGUAAUAC
rnacentral:rRNA from 1 species